UACGUAGGUCCCGAGCGUUGUCCGGAUUUAUUGGGCGUAAAGCGUGCGUAGGUGGUUCGUUAAGUCUGAUGUGAAAGCCCUGGGCUCAACCUGGGAAUGGCAUUGGAAACUGGCGACCUAGAGUGCGGUAGAGGGUAGUGGAAUUCCCGGUGUAGCAGUGAAAUGCGUAGAGAUCGGGAGGAACAUCCGUGGCGAAGGCGACUACCUGGACCAGCACUGACACUGAGGCACGAAAGCGUGGGGAGCAAACAGG
rnacentral:rRNA from 1 species